AAAAAAUGUAACAUAGACUAUUGGAAGAGAAAGUACGAACUAUUUAAGAUGAAAGAUGGUGAAACUAUUCAGGAGAUGCAUAGCAGGUUUACAUCUAUUAUCGACAAGAUGGACUCACUUGGGGAGUCACUACCAAGUGGCAAAGCUGUAAGGAAGUUUUUUAGUGUACUGCCUAGUUCAUGGGUAAGUAAAGUUGAAGCAAGUGA
rnacentral:misc_RNA from 1 species